AGUAAAUUUCACCAUCCCCAAAGAGAUAUCUACCCGUCAACAUGUAGAUUAUUGUAAGAGGAGCUGCUCUCCAAUGAAAGUCAGGCUUACCAUCUCCAAAGAGAUCUACCCGUCCACAAUUGGAUGCAAAGACGGAAAGCACUUGCCAGAGUUAGGCUUACCAUCUACGAAGAUAUCAGCCCGCCAACAAGUUUUCGAGCCUGUCCCAUUAUAAAUGAGCUUCAAGUACUCUCCAGUGAGCUCCAGUCUCCAAAACAUCAACAUGUCAACAAUUAAUGUCUGAGACCCACUUAUCAUC